rnacentral:rRNA from 1 species
AUGUGCAACGGGAUCUUCAGGAGCCCGGUUCACAGGGUGGUGACGAACGCCGAGAGGGAGAGGCUUUCGCUGGCCGUGUUUUAUGCCGUGGAUGGAGAAACGGUGCUGGAGCCGGCGCCUGGUUUGCUGGAUGACGAGCGGCCGCCAAGAUAUGGGAAGUUCAAGGCGAAAGUGCUAUUGUGA